GUGGGGAUAGCUCAGUUGGGAGAGCGUCAGACUGAAGAUCUGAAUGUCGCGUGUUUGAUCAACGCUCACCGCA
rfam:Brassica oleracea var. oleracea cultivar TO1000 chromosome C7, whole genome shotgun sequence